UACAGCGGUGGCACGCGUUGUUCGGCUUUAUUGGGCGUAAAGGGUCCGUAGGCGGUUUGGAAAGUCAGAUGUGAAAUCCCACAGCUUAACUGUGGAACUGCAUUUGAAACUUCCAGACUAGAGUAUGAGAGGGGUUAAGGGAAUUCCCGGUGUAAGGGUGAAAUCUGCAGAGAUCGGGAGGAACACCAGUCGCGAAGGCGCUUAACUGGCUCAUUACUGACGCUCAGGGACGAAAGCUAGGGGAGCAAACGGG
rnacentral:rRNA from 1 species